AAAUCCGGUUGAUCCUGCCGGAGGCUACCGCUAUUGGAGUUCGAUUAAGCCAUGCGAGUCUAGAGGCCUAGCCUCGGCGUACCGCUCAGUAACACGUGGGUAACCUACCCUAUGCUGGGGAAUAAGCUCGGGAAACUGAGAAUAAU
rnacentral:rRNA from 1 species